rnacentral:rRNA from 1 species
UAAAUUGAGAGUUUGAUCCUGGCUCAGGAUGAACGCUGGCGGCGUGCUUAACACAUGCAAGUCGAGCGAUGAAGUUUCCUUCGGGAAACAGAUUAGCGGCGGACGGGUGAGUAACACGUGGGUAACCUGCCUCAUAGA